GGGGGCGCACUGGUUUCGACGGGGAUGAGAGAAGCUAAGGCUGCAGGUCGAGGCGCCGCUGGCCUCGUAAAAAGCGGCACAAUCAUAAUUGCAAAUGACAAUUACGAUUACGCACUAGCAGCUUAAUUAAGCCGCUAUGUCAUUGCUUUGAUGUCUAAUAUCUGCAUUGACACAAAACCCAUUAGACUGGCUAGUUUUCGGUUGCACGUCCCGAAAGCAGUGAGAACCUAGCACGCGCUGGCCCACAUGUUGCCUGUUCAGGGGCGUCCAUGAGGGUGAGAAACAAUACCUGGACUAUGCCUGUAGAUGUCUUAGUGGAGCAUUCCCGGACGGGGGUUCGAUUCCCCCCGCCUCCACCA
rfam:Desulfovibrio sp. S3730MH75 k99_2861194, whole genome shotgun sequence.